CUGUCAGGGUUCAGCUGUGUCUCGAUGUCAACUCGGCAGAUUGGACACUUCCUGCUGGUGGCCAGCCAUUGGUCCACGCAGCCCUGGUGGAAGAGGUGCAUGCAGGGCAGUCUCCUGGAGGACAGAGAGACAGAGAGACACACGGGGUCACAGUGUGGCUUCACACUGGCAAGCAUGACUCUCCCAGUGCAUACAGUUAUGUGCUUGCAAAGAACUUCGUAAAACCUGCAGGGACUUAAUUUUGUUCAUUCAGGCAUGUAGAGAGGACUUCUGUUGACUCAUCAGCCCAACACGCCUCUCAGACAGCUGAGACUCCAUAUGCUGUAAACGGACUCUUUCUUCAUCCCAGGGCACUGCCCUUUAUCCCCCGGAAUUCACCCCCCAACUUGGGUUUAAAUGCAUGUAAAAACUGAAGUGUCACUGUAACCAAAGUCUAGAUGUAUCAGGAGUUUGUGUUGGACUAUUUCUUGGCUGCGACAAGCACUGGUUGCCUGACAGCUCCUCAGAACAAAGAAACAGUCCUCACAUAUACUCUCCUGAAAACUGUGAUUUUUACACUUUGGUUUUUAGACAGUACAUGGAUUUUGUUACUCCCAUCUAACUCUGCACCAGAAACCGAAUCAGAUUCAGAAGAGUCGGAUUCUGGGGCUAUGGACUAUUUCUGACCUGACAUCCUCUCCGUCCUCCAGCAUGGACAAACAGAUGGUACAUUUCUCAUCCACAUCUGUUUCCUCCUCCUCCCCAAUCUUCAGCUGCAGGGGCUUUCUCUGACAAAAGGUGAAUCUCUCUAUGGUUGUCUGAACAGCUCCUCUGCUGACACUCCCCAGCCGAUCCUCCAGCUGCAACAGCUCCUGACGAAAAAGCAGAGUAGAAUAAAAUAGAAUUCUAUGUAUCGGCUACUAAAUGGACAUCGUUCUAUCAACUGCUGCUUGAAAGGUCAGGAAUGAACUUUUAACCUCAAAUGUUAAUCCAACAAGGAUGAGAAGCCCCUUAAGUGCUAAAGAGACUGGAAAUUUUAACGUCGACAUUUCCGUGACAACUGCGCAAACUCCAUCUGCUGAUGAAGAUCAUGUGACAUGACUGACAGCUCCAGAACAGCCACCAAAUGGAACAUAAAGUGAGACUGCUGGUCAGCUAGCCUAGAGCAGUAUGGACAAAGUUAAGGCUCUCUGAAACACGCAAUAAAAAUGCAGAUGUGAUGGCACAGUGACACAAAGUGUGAAAGUUUGUUUAAAGAAAAAAAAAAAACAAGACAGCUUUGAUGGAUGGAUGGGUGGAAAGUAGGUGAAAUGUAUUUAGAGAUAUAUUUACCUCAUAACUUUCUCGCACAGCGGUGGCAUGCCUUGAAGGAUUCAGACUCUGCAGUGCCAACAGGUGCAGCUGGGGGUACGGGUAGUUUCUGAUUUCAUGCACAACCUAGCAAAAGAGAACUCUUCAUCAUAUUACAGCGCCGUUAAUCCUGCAGCUAAAUACCUUUUUUUUUUUUUUCUCUCUGUUGUUUUGAGGAAAAUGAUUAUGGAAGUCAUAAUAAAUCUGAAUUUAGCGCUGUGUUAAAUGUUUGCAGAACAUGCUGUUUAUGUGAUGCUUGUGUGAAAAGUAAAGAGAUCUGUGUGAAAAGAGCAAAUUAUUAUGAGUUAAAGGGGAACGACACUAAUUUUACACAUAACAGUCUGCUUACAGGUCUUAGGGGAGUAUAUGCACAUAUGUGAAAAAAAGUUGUAUAAGGCUGUUUGUGCCUCCGGAUAGAUUUGUGUAAAGUUUGAUGAACUGUUUUUUCAUAGCAUAUUUACUUCAAGUUGCGUCGUGGGUAAUGUAGGCGCCAGGUUCUGACAAGGAGGCGGA